UUAAGGCAAACAAAAAAUCAUGUUCCAACCCUCUGUCUUUGGCGACUGCGCACCCUCUUCACCGCGUCACCACUGUAAGACCGCCUAUCAGAGGAAUCUGCAGUGCCGCACUCGCAAUCUCUCCCUCGUACUGCGUCUCCUCUGUCUAUGUCUAUCUUUACCGUUGCAGAGACUCUACACUCCACAAAUCAGAAGACAACGCCGUCGUUCCCCACCGGAACCCAGCCCCUCCAAUUGAGAUGCAAGAAGGCCAAACACGUUUGCAGUGAUUAAUGUUCCUCUUUUUUCACACUUUGCUUUCCCCAUUUUCCAGUAUAUGUGAUCAAUUUUUAUUUUCAGUAGAGAUUUUUUUUAAAAUUCCAGUAGAGAUUUUUUUUUAAAUUUCACAAACAAAUACAAGAAAUUUUGAAGAUUAUGUAACAAAUUUUGAUUUUCCUUUACUGCAUAAAGAAGCAGAGUUGAACGGUGGUGAAAAACGUUGGAGGAGGAGAAGAUGAACAGUGCUACAAAAUAUCAUGUGGUUUUUUUAUUUGCCAAAAAAUUGCUGGAGGGAGCUGAGCUGCAGAGAGCAGCUGCGGGAGAGGAUCCAAUUCCAUUCCAUUAUAAUAUAGUAAUGCUGAAGCGCGCAAUGUGGCGCUGCCACGUCAACGUUUAUUCCUCUAACAAAAGAGCCCACAUCAGCAAUUUUAAUGACGUGUCAUAAUGUAAUUUCUGAAGGAUGGAACAGAGCUAGAGAUCCACACACACAGAAUAGAAGAUCGACAGACACAAAAUAGAACUACAGAUCAACCCCGUAAAAACCUUAUUUUCAUCUUCCCCAAUCCUCUUGGUCGAGAACCUCACGGUUCGUCAGCCUGCAACUACGACGAUGGCGACACAACCACUUCUUCCUCCCGUGAUACAGGCUUCAUGAACCAACCAUGGCUGCCCCCUUUUCCUGACAACGGACGAGGAAGCGACGCAGACUCUUCUCCCUUCUCCCGCGACUAUGUCAACGGUGACAAGUUAAUUCCGACACAAUCCUUCUUCUUUCGCUUCCCCUCCCGUGAGUUAGUGUUCGGGAACUAUCAACUAUGUAUAUUUCGCUGUGCAGUUUCAUCUCCGCUGAGCCUAGCACCCUGUCCCCUUCAAUUUUCGAUGGCCAAUUGCUCCAGGAGCAAUAUCAGAGUCCAACUUCAAUGGAUAUCAUGGAAACGACAAAGGUUGCAGAAACAACAUUUUUACAAGAUGGGAGAAAGGUAAAAUGGUUCUACUGGAUAAAUUACUUUCCAAACUAAAAGAACGGGAUUCCAGGGCACUUAAAUUUACACAGGAUACCAAUAUUCCUGCAUUGAUGACAAUACUGAUGGAGAACAUCGUAAAGCUUCCAUGGCUGUUUUUGUUGCCAUUAAUCUUGCUGCUGCUGACAUUGUCAUUCACGUGCCAUGCACGGGUAAUUAGGUGGUUUGGGCAUGUAUGGAAUUGAGCAUCAUGUAUUCGAUAGAGCUGUUGGCCAAAUUGGAAGUAAGGGACCAAAUGCCCUGCAGACCUACACACUUCCGAGACUGGACAAGUCCAGGUACUACCAUGUUUGAAACGAGUUGAGCUGAGGAAAGAGAUUUUGGAGCAAUUGGUGAGGUUUCACAACUGAGGAUGACGCCCGGAGAACUUGCUAAGUUCGGGAGCUUUAUUUUGGAUUGGACUGGGAUGUUGAGCUUGGAUGGAGAAAAUGGCUAAGGCGAGGGAGAAUCUUCGAUGGAGCUUGACCUUCGUAUGAGUCGGAGAGGAGAACUUGAAGAACUGUGGAAGACUUGAAGAAUAGAGUCGGGUGUAGAGUUAAAGUCUUGGGUUAGAGAGCUUACCCUUAUUGGUUUAAGCUUGCAUAAAGAUUUUAGGAAUUUAUAUUUGGGGUUUCGGGUACUCGCCUUGUUCAAGGCAUGAUGUAAAUCCCUUUGUAGUUGGGAGUAUGCAUGACAUGUUUUGGAAAUACAUUUGUAAAGAAAAAAAUAUACUCGUGUUUAUACAUUCUUUUGGAAAAAUAUUGCAUAUUUACUUUAAUAGGUUACUAAAGUGACCCCCGGAAAUCGGGGUGUUAUAUUGUGGUAUCAGAGCUUUGGUUGAGAAACCAGAGCUUGUUGGGGAAUAGGUCUUCUGUGCUAGGUUGUUUGAACUCUGUAAUUGAUCGGCUGGGUGUUGAUCGAUUGACAGAGUGUUACCAUAUAGAUUAUAUGAUUAAUUGUUUAUUUUGUCUACUAGAUGUUUCUUGCUUGUUGUUGUCUUGAGCACUAACCCCUUAACUUCUGACUAGAUGGUUAGUACCCCCACCAAAAUAUUAAUUGUUCUUGUUGUUUGUCUACUUUGUUAUACGGUAUUCCAGGUAGAAACUACAUGUUGUUGAACGGGGAAAGGAGUAUGCAUUAGGCACAUUCCUUUGACCGUUGUUUUUGUUCUGAAUAGGACAGUUGUAUAGGGUUUAGAGAAGUGCUAAACCUAGAAGUUGUUUUGUACGGAUAGGUUAGUAAGGAGAGAUAGAAGCUUAGAAUGAAUCCUAAGGGAGUGUUGUUUGAGUUCCAGGAACUAAGGUUGUAUUUCUUCUAGAUGAAGUUGUUAGAGAUUGAGUAGAUUAAGAGAUGAUCUUAAUUUAGAAGUGACCACUUGAUGAGAUAGACUCAUUGGCCUUACUAGUGAGUUUUUUCUGAAUUUUCUUCCGCAAGAUAUUGAGCCUGAUCAACUUAAUAUUGAGGGGUUGAUAUUUUGAAUCACAGCUGGCAUGGACUAUGAUAAGAGGAUUGAUUAGAGUUGAUCGUUGACUAGUCGAGUUUGGAAGAUAAGUCUAUAUUAAGUGUUUGAUUUUCCUUGUGAACAAGUUGUAGUUUUAAGAAAUAGAUUUCCACUUGAGGAGUGUAGGAGAGUUAAAGGACAAUAGAAGUCCAAACUUGGUAAACGUUUAGACUUUAAGUCUAGGAAUUCUUGUCUUAAGUGUCUGAGACUUAGAGAUAUUCCGAUUUUGGGGAGGAACCUAAGAAUUUGAUUGACGUAGGAGUAACAAGACUAAGGAAGGAAGUUCUAGUGUUGAGUUGAAGGCUUGAAGUUGUUAUAAGUGGAUAGGUCACCAAGAGCCUAAGUGUGAACAAAACCUUGAGGAUGGUUUGAUUUGAGUAAGUUAAGUUAUGUCAGAAGUCUGAUGUUGGAAAUGUAGCUUAGGGCUGAAUCGUGAGUUUUGGGGAGAUUAAGGAUUCUAUCAUAAGCACUUGAUGGUAGAGGGUUAAGAUUUCAAUCUUUGGAAGUUGAUGACUUUAAUGUAGUUAAACGAUUAAUUGAUGACUAGAACUUAUGUCCUUAAGGUUGAUUAAGGGGAGAAGGAAUAUUGGAAUCUCUUUCGUCUGAGCCCAAGCCUUAGGGUUGAAUCCUUGUGUUAUGACUUAAGGAGAAUCUCGGAGUCUCGUUUAACGUUACAAGCUUUGUCUUUGGUCGUCUUUAAUGAUAGUGCAUCAGUAUGGAAGUUUUUGAUUGUCAGAUAGUCAUUAAGUAGUUGGUUCACGUGAUUACUCUAAGUAGAGAUAGACUAAGUCCAGAGAUCCAAUGUUGAAGAGUCUUAAGUAUUCUUUCGAAAGUUAUGAAACCAUAGGUUAUGUGACUUCGUGCUAAUUGCACUAAGAGGCUAGACUUAAUGGAUUACCGCCUAGUUAGACUCUAGAGGAAUAAGUGUUGAUCAAACAAAGAUUUUGGAUUUCAGAGAAACAUGCUAAGAUUAACAACUGAGAUUUGCUAAGUUGAAUUAGAAUCUUUGGGUCAAGAUUGAUUUUGUAAAUUGAGAAUCAUUGAUUUUGUCGAUACCUGAUUUGAUGUUAUAUUGUUGAUGAUUAUUGAUAUCUGAUUUGUCGUUAUAUUGUUGAGGAUUAUUGAUAUAUGAUUUGUCGUUAUAUUGUUAAGGAUUGUUGAUAUCUGAUUUGAUGCUAUAUUGUUGAAGUUAUUGUUAUCUGAAUUAACCUAUACUGUUAAGUUAUUGAUUCAUGAGUUAGUUUAUGUUGUUAAGUUUUGUUGGUAUCUGUUUUAAAACCAUAUCGUUGAUUUUGCUGAUAUGCUGAUAUGUUUAAUUCUAUUAAAUAUAUGAUUCGAUUUCAUGAUCGAUAGGAUGAGUUGUCAUCUAUCCUGAAUUAAAUUGGUAGCUUACUUACCAUGGCAUGUAUUAGAUUUGAAUAAUAUGCUUUUCUCUUUAUUAUGUGGUAAUUGCAUGAAGUUAACCCUUUCUAUUUGCUACUUGUUGUUUGGGCGCUUAACGC